GUUGGGACCAUGCUUCUCAACACACAUUUUUCUUUCAGAUAUUCAACUGUUGUCACAUUCCUAGUCUGAAUGAAAUUCUUGACCAUUUUAUGGUCAUGUAAGUGAUACACACUCCGGAUAGCAACUCCUGCUUCUUGUCACAAGCUUGAUACGUUCUAUAUUGGCAUCAUCUCAAAUUUUUACUGUCACCAUUUUGAAGUGAAGGAAUAGCCCUAUUACCAGACAAGUCAGAGCUGCCUUAGGCUCUGAGUGAAUGAAGAUACCUCUGGUGUAAGAAAAACACGAGGAAAAUAAGAAGAUGAAUCCGGGGAUUUCAUCACACGACAGGUGCAAGAGCACCACCCAUGCCUCUGAAAACAUUGCACCAUGCACCCUUGAA
rnacentral:lncRNA from 12 species